ACAGCGAUUGAGUACAACUCCACAUCAUAUAGGUACCUACACAAUAUUAAGAAAAGCGACAACGCAAACCGAUGUGAACAAAUAUUUUUAAUCAAGUAUCAACGAUUCCGGUUCAUUUAUAUUUUACACCACGAUUUAAAACGAGACAUUCAAACCGAUUUCCAUCACUACAGGACAUAAUUUGUUAGUUGUUUUAUAGAUUCCCGCUAAAAAGCAAUCGUAUUUUUCAUAAUAUGUAAAUGACAGAAUUUUUUUUUUUUGAUAAUGAAUUUGUUGCCCUUUUAUAAUAUUUAUGCAUUACGGUGCAACACAGAUUUUUUUUUGGGGGGGAGGGUGGAGUUAUAACUCUAAAGCUCCCUAUUUUUGUACCAUUUCUUACACAUCUCAACUUUUUACCACCCGAAAAAAUAUAUGAGUUAGUAAUGAAAUAAAUUUGUUUC